GUGGUGUUACACCGGUUACCAGUAGUGGUGAGAGAAACGGUGCUGUGACCCGGCGCAUAUUUUGGUGACGUGAAAAGAUUGUCUCUUCCUCUUUGACUCAGAAACCUUUUUAUUUAUACUCAGAGAGAGUCAUGGAACGGUAAAUGGUUCUACUGUGGUCAGACCGUUUCCACUGGCGGAAUAUACGAUUGAUUUAGAUCUACAUCGAUUCAUACCAACACAAAUGGAAAGAAAUAUGACCACCACAGACGAAAUUCGCUCAAUUGUUGGGCGAAGACCGACUGAUGUACCCCACAGAUUCUUAUGAACUUGCAAUUCACCCUUGGUACUAAAAAGUUCACCAUCCCUGACCUAGAGACAUUGACCAAUAACUGAAGGAAACCUCUAGGCUGGUGCCAGGGGGAGUAAUGUCUGGGUCUGUAUGGAGCCUUUUAAUUUCACAUUUGAACAGAUCAACUUCGAGCACGAACUCCAGCUGCCCCCUGGUGUUGAGCAGGUUCAACAGAAUUUUGAUUCCUUCAAUAAUGUGAUUCACUACGACUUGGAUUUUGUCAAUGAUUCCACCUCUUCUGCCGAUCUUCAGUCUUAUGGAAUUCCUGAGACUGUAAAGAGGAACCCCGUUGAGCAGAGGCUAUGCCAGAGCAGCGUAGGUAACCCUUGUGAUACUCGAGUUCACUAUGUUUGGUCUGAGAAAAGGUUAAGUCCAGAAGGAAGCGACCAUCUUGUGAAUCCCUUUAUCAACUUCAGUGAACUUGAACCAGACAAGUCUUCCUCCGUCACCAAUCCUACCACAACUACUGAUGACAUAUCUACCCUUAUCAAGGUAUCAGCCAUCACCAAAACUGUGAAUUCUCAGCUGCGUAGCCGUGACAACAGACCAAAGUUUACAAUCCCAAAAAGGAAGAUGGCUACAACGGAAGUGUCUCCUUCAACACUGGCACAUGUACCACAGCCAGCGACCACCACUGCACAACGAACAACCAAUACAGCUCCAUUUGAAAAUAGCAAUGCAUUUGAGACGGUUGCAGAAGCCCUCCACUUGCAGUGGUCAGUCAUUGGUGAUAAGAAUGUGACCCCUGCUUCCCCUGAAGUAGUUGCUCAGAUUGUGGCUGAAGCAGAGAAGAGGUUGAAGGCCAGCAAUAUACAACCAGCGCCCUUGAGUGAAAGUUUCUCCUCAAAGACAAAUUCAGAAACAUCCUCUGACAUACCUCAGAAUCUUAUUCCUGGUCUCAACAGUGAUAGCCAAAGUCUGAAAAUGUCUUUUGAGAGAACGCCACGUUUGGAUUCUUUAUACUCUAAUGAUUCUCAUUCGUUGAUGUCUUCAGGAGAAAGCACUGAAAUAUUGCCAACAGACGUUUCAAAGACUAACAAAGAUUUGGCCAGAGUUAUUCCAUCAACCGAAGGCAAAAUUAUAAUUCCUGCAACAAAUAUCACUUUAACAACAGAGAAAACCUCUUGGUUCAAUUCAGGACCAAAACUCGUAUCUGACACCGAAACAUCCCCCAGGGACAGGGAACAGGUAAAACCAAAAUCCAAGAAAAAGGGAAAACCUAAGAACAAAUCUGCUUCCAAAGAUUUUACAGAAGAAAACGAUGGUUUGUCUCCCUCCGCAUCAACAACAUCUUCAGUUGUCUCAUCGUCCAUGGAACAAAUCUCCAGAGAACUCAGUCAAGAGAAUGGUCUAAGCGAAGGAGACAAAACUGAUGAAGUUGCUUCUGUAAAAAGUUCCUCAGUUCAGUUCUCUGAUUGUGAUGAGGAUUACAAUUAUGAAGACGACAGCACAGCUGAAGCUUUUCUCAAGUCACUGCCGCCUGUCAAAGCCAUUGAGCUGGAAAGUUUCCUGAAAAGAUUCCAUAAUGGACGGCACUCUCCACCAGUGAGAGAACGUUCUUUCACACCAAGCGACUCUGGCAGAGACACUGCAAGGUUUUCUCCUCUGCUGGAUUCGGUGACCGGUGCUAGCCAUGACCAAAAGUAUUCUUUCCAAAACACUGACAUUUCUGAUCGCCUUGGUUCCGUCCCUGGCAGUGUGGAGUUACCUGAGAAAGAUGUCAGUCCUUUACCAUCUAAAUUACCCACAAAACCUAAAAUCGUUCUUCCUGACCCUGGACCUCUUUUCAAGAAUGCAAUGAAACCAUUUACAGAGAGAAAAUCCAAGGCCUAUGUCGAGGUAUCUUCUCCAGCAACAGGGAAACUGGAAGAAAUGAACCUAAAUACUGUUCUGAAGGAGAAGGCAAAGCUGGAGGGUCAGUUGGAAGUGUUGAGUGCAGAGGCAGAAAUUGCAUUACAAGAACGUGCGGAGUUGCAGGCUCAAGUUGCCUCUCUGGACCAGAAACUGCAAUUGUUGAAUAACUCAGAGUCUGACGUGAAGCAGAAUGCACUGAAAGCUGACAUCAGGAGCUUGAAAGAGAACCGUGUCUACUUGGAACAAUGUUUAGAAGACACUCAGAAACUGCUGGAAGAAAAGAUUGAUGCUGCUAAACAUCAUGAAGAGGAAUUGAAGCUGACCCAAGAACUUCAGGACAAGCAAAACAUCCAUGUACGAGAAUUGUCAGACGGUCUUAAUGCCCGUGACGUGACCAUUCAAGCAUUAAAAAAUAAAGUUGCAGAACUUUAUGUUGAGGUGCAGACUGCACUUCAGAAAAAAAUGCUGUCCGACACUGAUGCACGGAAUGCAAAAAGUGACCUUUCAGCCAUUACCAGCACAAAGCAGUGGUACCAUGAACAACUCCAGAUGGCCAACAAGGUUCGUUCAGAACUGCAAAAGGAGUUAACGGCACUGCAUGCACGAGUCUCAUCUCAGGGAAUAAUCAGCGAACGCUUGAAAGCAGAUACUGCACGCCUGCACCAGUUGUUGUCUGAGACGCGGCAGAAGGCAGUGUUAGAAAAAGAGACACUCGCUCGACAAUUGGAGAACAUCCAGGCAGACAUGCUGGAGAGAGAAACAGCUUUCCAGGAGAUCCAGAGGGAGCGGCAUCUCAUUGAAGAGACAUUUGAUUCGAAAAUUUUGAGUGUCGAGGAAGAGAAGUCAAAGAUAGCCACCCUGUUGCAGACCACAGUUGACCUUGAGGCUCAGCUUGAGAAAUCACAAAACAACGUGAAGAAAAAGCAGAUUCAAAUAUUUUCUUUAGAAACUGAGCAGGCAAGUCUGAUGAAAAAUCUGAUGGUUACUGAAGGAAAACUUACUGAAAAGGAUAAAAUCACUGAGGAAUUACAGCAGAAACUCAUUGAUGUUGAAUCUUCUUUGAAUGCUUUCCAAACCGAAGCCAGUCGGAAGAACCAGGAAGUGUUGAAGUUGAAAGAAGAGAAGGCUGCGGUGGAAAUAUCUUUGGUAGCAGCUUCUGAAGAAAAGAAAAUUUUUGAUUCUUCCUUGGAAACACUUCGUGGUGACUUGAGUAAAGUAGAGAAAAGCUUUUGGCAGAUGAAGCAGGAGCUGAAUAAUCGUGUUGCCGAACUUGAACAAGUGAAGGAGGACAGAGAUAGGGUCAAGUUGGAAUUGGAAGAAUCUCAGAAAACACUCUCUAAUUUGCCUGAGAAAGAACUUCAGGAAGACAAAGAGAAUCUGGCUGAACAUUCUCAGAAGAUUGAGAAGAAGAACGAGGCCCUUGCCAAGGACUUAAACGAUCUUCGAGUGCAGUUUACGGAAUUGAAUGACCGGUAUUUACAUGAAGUUCACGAAAAGGAAGCUGUACAGAACCUUCUAGAAAAUGUCCAGAAGAAUCUUGAUCUUGUAAAUGUAGAAUUAGAAAAGGAGAAAGAGAGACCAUCAAGUGAAGAGCAAAGUCUAGAAAAUUCCGAGAAACUUCUGCAGCUUGAAACUGAAAAUAAAAACCUGAAAGCAGAGAUGAAAUCCGUUGAAAAGAAACGGCAAAACACCUUGACCAAAGAGAAGGCUCGGUCAGCAAGACUUGGCACCGAUUUAAAUGCUGUGCAGAAUGAAUUGAUGCAAAGACAAAAGGCUUAUGACAGCAACACUGAACUCCUCAGCAGUAAACUCCGUGAGAUGGUUUCCAGCAAAGAAGCACUUCAGAACGAACACGAUAUGCUUAAACGGAAGUUUGAAUUUGGUAUGUUGGAGCAACAAGAUCACAUGAAGGUAGAAUUACAGACUCUUGCUGGAGAAUUAGAAUUGGUAACCAACCAGAAACACCAAGCUGAAAGUCAAUUAACAGAACUGGAAAUAGCAACCAAACAACAGAUUGACCAAUAUGUAGCACAGGUUGUGGCCAUGGGGGAGCAACUACAGCAGUUGGUCAAUGAGAAAGAAGAAGUGGAGCGGGAAGCCAGUUCCAAAGAUUAUCAAUUCCAGCUGGAACUUGAAAAAGAACGAGGUCGCCUUACAGGCUUACAACAAAGCAAUACAACUCUGAAGAACCAUGUUGCUGAGUUAGAAGAAGCUCUGGCUCGCCGUGAGUCGUCACUGGUCGAACUGCAGACCCAGUUCAGUGAAACCCUGAAGAACCAAGAUUGUAAUGAUUCUGAUUUCAGCAACAGGUUACAGGAACUCGAACAGAUGUUGGCUCAUGAAAAGGGUAACCAGAGGGAGCUCAGGAAACAGAUUGGUGUGAAGAUUAAAGAAAACAAAAACUUGAAGCGGCAACAGAAAGCUCUGGCAACUGAACAGGAGCAAUUACAGGGGAGCCUUGAGCAGAAAGCAUCGCAAUGUGAUGCAACUGCAGAUGAACUGCAGCGAAAGAAGGAAGAGCUGUCUCAGGUGCAGUCUAGUCUUCAGAAUGUGCAGCAUGUUAACCAAACACUGAAUGCUCAAAUUGAGCGCUUGCAACGGAACCUCUCCGACAAUCAGGACCGCAAUCCAGUCAUACUGGAGCAACUAGAGAGUUUACAAUGGAAGCUUCAACAGAAGAACUCUGAAAUUGAGUCUGUUCGUCACCAAUUGACUCUGUCUGAAGAACGACAUGACCUGGAACAGGAGAAUCUGAAAAAGACUCUACAGAACAACCAGCAAGAACUGGAGGCCCUCCGUGGUGAACUGAAAGCCUCACGCCAAGAAAAGUUGAACCAACAGGCCAAAGUGGCUGAAUUAAGGAGUGCCCUUAAGACCUCAAUCCAUCAACAUAAGAUCUCCAAAAAGGUUUCAUCCAAAUUAAAAGGCUCCCCCAAGAGGACCUUAGUUAACAGUGAAAACCUGACGGCAGAAGAAGCCAGCAUUGAACCUGAAUCAAUGCAGCCUGUAACCGAAGGAGCUUGCUCUCCGAACUGUCGAGACGUCGGGACACAAAUGGAUGAAGAUAGCAAGGAGACCCUAUUGGCGCCGGUCGGUGAACCAUUUGACAUCGAAGCCUUGGAACAGCUAUUGCAGGACACAACAGUCCAAGCUCUGGAAAGCAAACCAUUGGAUGACUUGCAGUCCUGCCUGAGUAGUCUUCGAGCUCAAAUCUCCGGACUAGAGAAGCAGAUCGAUGAUCAUUCAGCAGCUAUUCAGAAUUCUGGUGAAACCUGGAGGGAUGUCGAAACACAAGUUGUUGAACUCCAACAAGUGGUGCAAACCGUAACCAACACAACGUCCUGCCCGACGCUAACCACUACCGUGGCAGACACUUCAGAAGCAACCUAUUGAACGCAGAGCGUGCAGCCAGUUAUUAUUAUUACUAUCAUCGUCAUUAUUGCAUUAUGUGGUGCACCAGUUCCUGCUGGGUCUAACUGGAUCUCUGUAGCACCCUCGUUUACUUAUCUUUCAAUUAUUGCUUUAUUUUGGCAACAAUUCUGAAAUCAAGAACACAAGAUCCUUCAUUUAUUACAGUUGGAGGAAAACAAAGGAAAGAAAAGUAUUAUUAUUAUUAACAAUAUACAUACAUGUGUGUAUAUACAUAUAUAUAUAUGUAUGUAUUGCUUUGUUGUUCUGGAUGUGUCCAGUGGGAUGUAGGGUUUGGUCUUCGUUAAAACUUUUUAUCGUUAUGUUUUGGUUAAUUAGUUCCUUCUGCUAUCUCCUGUAGUAUUCUGCAUGUCUUUACAGAAUCUUUCUUGGCUGCGUGUGUAUGAUUUUGUGUAUAUAUGUAAGUGUAUAUAUAUAUUAAAUAUGUGUGUAUCUUUGUAAACCAAUACAUGUAUAUGUGUGUGCAUAUCUGAAUAUAUAUGUAUAUAUUUAUGUAUAUAUGUGUAGCUUGGAGGUGGUGAGUGAUGUGGGAUUGAGUGGGAAUAAGGGAGUCCAUCCUGUACUCAACAUCAGACCUGUGUCCCCUAAUUUGGUUCAUCUUGCCACUAAAUCCUUGGUUUUCAUUUGGAUUAUGGCCUGUUUGUGAAACCCAGUUUGCAGUGGCUGGCAUAUAUUAUCUUCAUCAAUCUGAGGUGUCUGCAAGCAGAGAAACUUUCUAUGUGAUCAUUCGAUAUUGCUAGAAAUAGUAGCCAAAUGUACUUCAUAUAAAGAAAAAACACAUCGGAAAAUGUAGUCUUAAAUCUGAACACCCCCUACCAGAGAAAGUGAUGGUGGUCAUGAUUAGCAUGUCUUUAAUUAUACAUCUGCUCAGUCAGUGUUGUCCUGGGUUAAACAACAAUUAGAAGAAGCCUCUUGAGCUUACUAGCAACCUUUAUGUGGUCACUGAAGCUGCUAGAAAUAUCAGCCAAAUCUCUCUCAAAUUACUGUUGUAUAAAAAACAGCAGACUGGAUACCAUUAGUCUGAUUUGUGUGACAUUAUUUUUUUUAAGACAACUUUAUUCAGAUGUAAAGUGCCAUCUUUGCUAAAUAGCUAUGUCUAGUAAAGACUCUAGUAGAAGUACCAAGACUGAUGGUUGUCUAAAGCAUUUUUGUUGUUGUUGUCAAGGAAUCUGUAUUUUACAAAAAUAAGGCUCCCUGCCACAUCCAAAUGAAAGUUCUCUGUUCUCCCUCCGUCUCUGUCUACUUGGUAACACACUUGUCAUGAAAACAAAGAGCUGGGGGUUUGAGUCUCAUGCAUAUGGAAACCCUACUUUUUUUCCAUCAAGGGCUUAUCUGCCUCAAUAUUAGACUAUUUUCUUUAGUCAUUUCUUAGUUCUAAGCUUAUAAAAUAUUAUUAUUAUUAUUAUUUACAGAAUUGUAAAAAUUGGCACUGCUUAUCAAAAGCCAUCGCAGAUAUAUAUGUGUGUGUGUGUGUGUACAUAUAAUAUAUUAUAAAUGGUGUAAGUUGUUAAGAAAGAAAGUGUUACACCCUGCAUCUCUACUUAUGUAUAUAUGUAUAUAUAUAUAUAUGAAUAUGUGUGUGUGUCUACAUAUGUUUAUAAGAUAUAUAUAUAUAAUCAUAAAUGAUCUGGCUUGUUAAGAAAGAAAGUGUUAUACCCCUGCAUCUCUAUCUACUUAUAUGCGUGUGUGUGUGUAUGGGUGUGUAUGUGUAUAUAGUAUAUAUAUAUUAUAAAUGGUCUGGCUUGUUAAGGAGGUGUUAUACUCUACAUCUCUAUCUACUUAUAUAUAUGUGUGUGUAUGUGUGUGGUGUUAUACCUGCAUCUCUAUCUACUUAUAUAUAUGUGUAAGUGUAUAUAUAUGUGUGAGUGUGUGUGUGCUUAUGUAUAUAUGAUAUAUAUUUUAAAUGCUCUGGCUUGCUCAGACAGAAAGUGUUAGACCCUGCAUCUUUAUCUACUUAUAUGUGUAUGCAUGUAUGUAUGUGUCUAUACAUCUGUGUGUGUAUAUGUAUAUGUGUGUGCGUAUAUAUAUAUAUAUAUAUAUAUAUUAUGAAUGACCUGGUUUGUUAAGAAAGAAAGUGUUACUCAGUUCCCUGGGACAAUAUUCUUUCCUAUCCAGAUCAGGUCUGUUAAACAAAGGUAGCCGACAUUCUUGAGUGUACGAACACUAAUCAAUGAGGAACGAUUAAUAAGUUGUCUUUGAGACACAUUCUGUCAAAUUCUUGGGCAGAAUUCUUCACAGAAGAUUUGUGAAGAAAUUUUUAAGAAUUUUUUUUUUUAAAUUGAACAUAGAAAGAAAGAGAAAGUGAAAGUUGCCAAAACAAAGUUUGCUCGUUUGUGUGUGUGUGUGUGUGUGUGUGGUGUGUGUGUGUGUGUGUGUGUGUGUAUGAUUUUCAUGUUUGACAAUUUGCAGAAGGAAAAAUCCAACAUUUCCUUGAGUGGAAAAAUGAAUAUUUGUGAAUGAUUAUACACACACACACAUAUAUAUACAUAAGGAAGUGAUAUACACAUAUAGAUGCAUACUUGUGUACAUAUGCAUGUAUAUGUGUGGCUAUAUGUUUGUGUAUGUAUGUUUGAAUACCUGUCCCCUUAUAUAUGCAUGUGUUUGCAUGAAUGAAUGUGCACACAUACCAACUGGAAGUGUCCCCUUUUUGCAAUGUGUUCGUUUAGUUUCUGAAUGAAAGCAAGAAAGAUGACAACCACUUUGGCCCCCUAAAAAGUAUGUAUUGUGGCCAAUAAUUAUUUUGGACUAGUUCACAUGUAAAUAACAUGUGGCACCUAUGUUAAUUAAUUUUGUCAAAAUUGUUGAUAAUGUGGGGUUUCUUUGGUUAAAAAUAUAAAAAAAUAAAAAAUUAAGGGAAAGAGUUACAAACAUGACUCGAAAUACAUAAAACAUGGAGGAAAGUAACAAAUGCAACAACAAAAACAAUUAUAAACGAUACUAGACAAACAAAUAAACAAAACAAUCAGCACAAUGACUAUAACUUCGCACUGUUGUACCGCUGAAUACUUGGUCUUUGAAUUCAUUUGUAAAAACAUCCUGGUAAUAGCAACUGUAAACUCUUUUGCUGCUGCGGAAAUUUCACAACUCUUAACUGUGGAAAGGAAUUGUAUAUUCCAACCUGUUGGAACUAUUUUCUGUUGGGAUAUGUCAAGUUUAUCAAAGCAAUGGGACUUAACCGAAAAUAUCAAUUCUAUUUUUUGGGUAUUAUUUAACAUCAUUUGUGGAAAAAGCAUGAAAUUCUUGUUACAUUUGCGGAUGAUCAUCUUUUGCCACACAUUUUUACAUCAAGAAUCCUGCAAAACAAUAGACAUAUGAAAUUAUAUUUUGCAGUUAAAGUGUUUUAAAACCCCUUCAGUCUGUGAUUGGGAGGUAAAAACAAAGGGGUUCUUUUUUUUUUUUCUUCUUUUUUGGUUUGUUUCUAAAUGCUGAGAUAAGAAGACGUUGCAAGUGAGAGGAGUCAUACUCUCUCAACCACUGACUAUAACACAUAUUCUACUUAUCUUUAUGCAAUUUGUGUCUAUUUUCUUUUUUUGUAUUUUUUCUUUUUUCCCCAUCAUUGUUUUUACAAAUUUGUUUCCUGUUCUGAUUUUUUUUUGUUGUUUUUGAGAGGUAAUUUCAAUAAUUUUGCUUUUUCUUUUUACUUCUUGAUAUUUAUUUAUUACCUGGUUAAAUUUGAUUUAUCAUUUAUUUACAUUUAAGAUUCAUUUAAAAAGUUUCUGUGUUAAUUGAAUUCUCUCACUUUUUCUGUAUUUUUCUUUUUUUUUUUCAUGGGUGUUUUUGGGUACGAAUCUGUUUAUUUGGUUUCUGGUUAUUUUUUGCAGGAGGAAAUUACGUUUAUUUCUGCAUCUCACGACACUACUACUACACUUACAACACACACUACACUACACUGCAACUGCCAGCAUCAUGUUACCCUACAACUGGACCCUCACCAGCGACGGCUACUCAAACAGACCCAUGCAUUGGAGGGUUGUCAGCUGAGUGGUGCAAGGGUGUCAUCUACCAAGAAUAGGGAACCACUAACAAAUGGUGGAUGCUACAAUGCUCUGUUACAGCACAUACUCCUAUACUACUACUACUACUACUAUCACAUUACGCUUCUGUCAUAUUACACUACAGCUACCGUCACACCACACCAUACCACUGCCACAACACUACGCUACACCUCUGUUGCAUAACGCUCCCAUUGCAUCACAUCACACUCAACACACUCCAUUGCGUUAUCCCACCACUGCCACCACCCACUACAGCUUUUCUACUUAAAUUAUCCAACUGUUUAUUAUAUAUGUUGUUAAAUUCUAAUUGUGAGCUCCCUGUAGCCAUCCUGAAUUCAGGGAAGCUGGGAAGAGAGAAGGUCACUGUGUUACCCCUUUUUGUUUUGGAGGGGGUUUGGGCAAGUUAACGAGCUCGUUUAAUAUGCACAAUGCUUAUGUAUAGCUUUAUAACACUCAAGGGAGCAAUUAGAAGGGAGGUUUAUGCAAAACCUUUACAUGAAAUGUGUUAACCCCUCUAAAAGAGGCCUACACUUAGACACAGAGGGGGAAGUAAGGGUUCAGGUAGUAAUUGCUACAAUUGGGCUAAUCACUCUAAACUGGUCGGUUUUUUUAAUGUUUUUUUUUUUUUGGUUUCUCAAUCCUUUCUCAGAAGUGAAGAGGAAACGAGUGAAAGAGCUUCUACAUGAUGUCUAGAUCUGCUAGAAAUAGCAGUCAAAUUUACCUCAAAUGUACCCUACAUUUUUAGAAAAUGACAGUUCAUAGUUUGAAAUGUUAUAUUCCUGAAUGAGAUGGGAUGGUCAUGGCUAGAAUGCCUUUGAUUAUAAGUCUUCUCAAAAUGGGGCCAAUUUGGAGAGCCAACAGCAACAACAAAUGUAAAAAGAGAGAAAAGAAGUGGGGGUCCCUGGAUUUUGAUUAGGCAGGGAUAUAACAAAAGGUAUUUUAGGGACUACAUUGUAUAUAACACAUUCUUUCUGUUUUAAGAUAGUUGGAUGUAACUUGAGGGAAUUUGGUUGCUAUUUCUAGCAGAUGAAAGUGGCUGCUGUCGGUCUUGACAUCACAUACGGUUGUAAUAAUGUUUCAUUGCUCAGUAAGCUAAUAUUUUUAUUUAUUCUUAUGCAUCUGAGGUUUCAAACUCCCUUUCCCUCUGCAUUUUUUCAGUUCUCAGUAUUCUUUUUCCUUUUUUUUUUGUCCUUCUUUGGUUCAAAUGAUUCAUUAAGAAAAGAUUAUAUUUUUGGUUUAAAAAA